AUGCCAAGCAGCUUACUUUUUUGUUUGUUUUUGUUUGUUUGUUUUCUGUUUGUUUUUGGGGGGUUUUUUUCUUUUUUUUUCCUUUCCCUGCAUUUUGGCUGCUGGAUCCUGUUCUUUUCUCUCCACCAGAGAGCGCCAAGAUCCCCAGAGGUGCUCACGCUGGGACUUCCCAGGGAUGUGCGCUUCUCCCGGGCAGCACAAACACCCGUGUGUCCCUCAGACAAAUGCUGGAGGACACUCAGACCAGCUGGGAACGUGGGACAUCAGAAAGGAGAAAGGACUUGGGUCACAGUGUGCUCUCUUCUGUAUCUUACAUUCUCCUGCUGUUGUCAUCGUACUUUCUCUGACCUCUUCUUCUGGCUCGUUGCCCUUUGUUCCUUCAGCCACCUGCCUGCAGAGCCUGCAAACCCCGGCAUGGUCCCUUCCUUCCAGCAGCAUCAUCCCUGGAUGUCAGCAAUCCCAGCAGGUUUAUAACACCAGUGGACUUCACUGGAGAGAUGCACGUGGCUGGCUGGGAGCCUGAGCCCUCGACUAUCAGCUCAAGCUGAUGACUACAGCCAGGGCUCCAUGACGCUGAAGAGCUGAAUCCAUCCCAGAUCCUGGAUUGACAAGGCAUUAAUAAAUUGUUAAGGGUUUAUCA
rnacentral:lncRNA from 1 species